AGACCAUGGUGAGGACACUUCCUAAGCAGUUCCUUAAAUCUCUCCCACGAUUCAUAUAAGGUUUUAUUAUCAAAUUGAGAAAAGUUGUUAUGCCAUUCCUUAAUUU
rnacentral:snoRNA from 1 species